rnacentral:rRNA from 1 species
ACUGCUCAGUAACACGUAGCUAAUCUACCCUAUGGUCAGGGAUAACCUCGGGAAACUGAGGGUAAACUCUGAUAAGAGAUUGACCCUGGAAUGAUUAAUCUCUCAAAUUCGUGCCAUAGGAUGAGGCUGCGGCGGAUUAGGUAGUUGGCGGGGUAAAAGCCCACCAAGCCGAUGAUCCGUAAGGGCUCUUAGCGGAGAGGCCCUGAGAGGGAAUCUGAGACACUAUUCCCAGCCCUACGGGGUGCAGCAGUUAGGAAUCAUCUGCAAUGCGCGAAAGCGUGACAGUUUGAGCCAGAGUGCUCCUCACUGAGGAGCUUUUGCUAAGUGUAAAAAGCUUGGCGAAUAAGGACUGGGUAAGACGAGUGCCAGCCGCCGCGGUAAUCCUCGCGGUCCAAGUCGCAGCCAUCUUUAUUGGGUCUAAAAUAUCCGUAGCUUGCCUAGCAAGUCCUCUGUGAAAUCCUGUUCCUUAAGUUCAGGGCGCGCAGAGGGUACUAUUAGGCUAGAGACUGGAAGACGCAGCGAGUACGUUUAAAGUAGCGGUUAAAUGCUUUAAUCUUAAACGGACUAACAAUAGCGAAGGCACGCUGCGAGGACAGUUCUGACAGUGAGGGAUGAAGGCUAGGGGCGCAAAGCGGAUUAGAUACCCGUGUAGUCCUAGCAGUAAACACUGUACACUAAACAUCAGUACCUCCUCGAGAGGUAUUGGCGCUGUAGAGAAGUCGAAGAGUGUACUACCUGGGAAGUAUAGCCGCGAGGCCGAAACUUAAAGGAAUUGGCGGGGGAGCA